ensembl:rRNA 5S_rRNA 5S ribosomal RNA
GUCUACGGCCAUAACACCCUGAACGCGCCCGAUCUCGUCUGAUCUCGGAAGCCAAGCAGGGUCGGGCCUGGUUAGUACUUGGAUGGGAGAUCUCAGACAGGCCAGUGACAGCCACUGUCU